UUUUCGGAGAGUUUGAUCCUGGCUCAGGACGAACGCUGGCGGCGUGCCUAAUACAUGCAAGUCGAGCGAACAGAAGGGAGCUUGCUCCCGGAUGUUAGCGGCGGACGGGUGAGUAACACGUGGGUAACCUGCCUGUAAGACUGGGAUAACUCCGGGAAACCGGAGCUAAUACCGGAUAGUUCCUUGAACCGCAUGG
rnacentral:rRNA from 2 species